rnacentral:rRNA from 1 species
GACGAACGCUGGCGGCGUGCUUAACACAUGCAAGUCGAACGGAAAGGCCCUGCUUUUGUGGGGUGCUCGAGUGGCGAACGGGUGAGUAACACGUGAGUAACCUGCCCUUGACUUUGGGAUAACUUCAGGAAACUGGGGCUAAUACCGGAUAGGAGCUCCUGCUGCAUGGUGGGGGUUGGAAAGUUUCGGCGGUUGGGGAUGGACUCGCGGCUUAUCAGCUUGUUGGUGGGGUAGUGGCUUACCAAGGCUUUGACGGGUAGCCGGCCUGAGAGGGUGACCGGCCACAUUGGGACUGAGAUACGGCCCAGACUCCUACGGGAGGCAGAAGUGGGGAAUAUUGGACAAUGGGCGGAAGCCUGAUGCAGCAACGCCGCGUGCGGGAUGACGGCCUUCGGGUUGUAAACCGCUUUCGCCUGUGACGAAGCGUGAGUGACGGUAAUGGGUAAAGAAGCACCGGCUAACUACGUG